rnacentral:rRNA from 1 species
CAGUAGCCGCGGUAAUACAGAGGGUGCGAGCGUUAAUCGGAUUUACUGGGCGUAAAGCGUGCGCAGGCGGUUAUAUAAGACAGAUGUGAAAUCCCCGGGCUCAACCUGGGAACUGCAUUUGUGACUGUAUAGCUAGAGUACGGCAGAGGGGGAUGGAAUUCCGCGUGUAGCAGUGAAAUGCGUAGAUAUGCGGAGGAACACCGAUGGCGAAGGCAAUCCCCUGGGCCUGUACUGACGCUCAUGCACGAAAGCGUGGGGAGCAAACAGGAUUAGAUACCCCGGUAGUCCCUGUCUCUUAUAC